rfam:Parcubacteria bacterium GW2011_GWA1_36_12 TR98_C0002, whole genome shotgun sequence.
CGGGGUAUAGUACAGUGGUAGUAUACACGAUUCGGGUUCGUGUGACCCCAGUUCGAAUCUGGGUACCCCGA